rnacentral:rRNA from 1 species
UACGUAGGGUGCAAGCGUUGUCCGGAAUUAUUGGGCGUAAAGAGCUCGUAGGCGGUUUGUCGCGUCGGCUGUGAAAACUCGGGGCUCAACCCCGAGCCUGCAGUCGAUACGGGCAGACUAGAGUGCUGUAGGGGAGACUGGAAUUCCUGGUGUAGCGGUGAAAUGCGUAGAUAUCGAGGAGGAACACCUGUGGUGUAGACAGCUUACUGGACCAUAACUGACGCUGAGGCACGAAAGCGUGGGUAGCAAACAGG